UUAGUUUGACAACAAGAUUGUGUAAUGUUUAUCACCUAAAAUUAUGAACAUGUUUUGGUGGAGUACUCCUGUAAUAUCUCUGUGUGUGUUGUGAGUUCUAGAACACUGCUGCCUCCUGCUGACCCUUGCAGCCAUUUGUUAUCAAAGAUUCCCUCCGUGCUGCUGAUGAGAAAAGGAAGAAUGUGUGGUGUAUAAUGGCGCCCACAGAAGCCAGAUGCUCGUGAUCAAGUGAAUGGAAGACGACACACGGAACAGUGGAGCCCAUCAUUGUCCAACUGCUCUGUUGUGUCUGGGAGCCAUUGAUUGUCGAUGAAGCCACAGCAGGCGAGAAGACACUCCACUUUCCCUCAAUAGAGUCACUGUUGGCAAACCUGUAGAAGUAAAUUGCAGUAUGAGGAGUAAACAGCGACACUCUUUAAAGUGAGAGAGAUGCUUCCCUACCAUUUAUCAACAUGGUCUUAAAUGGGCUGAGCUGUGUCUCACCUGAUGAUUUCAUUGGUGUGUGAGGGUGGAAGCAACUUGAGGGACAGUAGCAUGAGUGAUGGGCAGAUUUUCAGAGCCCACUAGAUGGCACUCUUUGCUCUGAAAUCUCUGGAUUUGAACAACCAUUUCAGAGAAACCUCACAUCAUUUUUAAACCAAGAGCGCCGCCUUCUGGGCUCUGAAAAUGAGGACACUGUUUCAUGAAGCCUCAUCUGCCCAUCACUAAGUAGCACCUGUAAGUCAGAAAAAAAGACGUGUUCCAAUUGACAUUUCUGGAAGAUUCCCUGGAAAUCCAUUCAUAGCUUUGAAUGGUACAUUGUUGGUAAAUGUCAGCAAAAACAAAGCUUCUUGUGUUGCUUACAAGUAACAUCCGACUUCCCAUCCGAACAACCGGUCGUAAAUCAGAUUGGACAUAAGUCGAAUGCUAUUCAAAAUGGCAGACGCGAGGGUUAUAGGUGCUACUGUAGCGGUAGAUGGCUGUGUGAGAGUGAGAUGCUGGGAUACUGUGCUGCCGUAACUUUCAUACGCGAUAAAAAAAAUAAACAUCUGCUGGCCGUGGUAGUACGGGUUGACCUAAGUCGAGCAGGUCGUAAGUUGGAUGUUACAUGUCCGCUGGAAUAUUAUAGGCAAGUAAAAACAAAACAAUGAAGCAGCUGUUUAAACUCAAAACCAGUGGAUGUUAAGAACAAUUUUGUGCAGAUCUGUUUUCAGUCGUGACAAGUUAGACAUAGCUACAGGGGCCCGAUCACCCCAAAAAGUGUGGGCCACAAAUUCGGAACAUCCAGCAGAAGCACAGCUUGAGGCGCGAGGUCAGUGAGUUUAUAACCGACUCUAAAAUGGAUGGAAGGUUACAAGUGUGUUGAGGUCACGUCUGUUGGUCAGUAGAUGGGCAGCUGCGAUCCACAGCAGCCGGAGGCAGCGAAGGGAAGACUUGCUCGGUGGUUUCCCUCCUGGUCAGCUUGCCUAAUGUAUGUGCAAUCUUGAGAGAACCGUUUCCAAUUUACUGACUAACCACCCACAUCGAUUUCUAUCAUGUGCAGGGACAUUAGGUUUCCAUUUAAAUGGGAGUCCUAUUAUCUUCAGUCAAAUCAGUGACUCGGGAUUUUAAUAGAAAGAAAUGAACGGCUCAUGUCGACCAGUAUGUGAGUGUAGUGGUGCAUAUGUUAAAUAAAGUCAGCGGUUUGGUUUGAGGGGUGUGAGAGGCCUCCCUCUCACUGGGCGGCCCAGAGAAAUAAGCAGAGAGGAAGUAGAUAAAAGGGACGAGGAAGCGCCGGGAGCAAUAUACAGCGGUCGGCGAUCCUGCCUCCAUUCUGUCUUCACAUUAUGAUAUCUAAUAUUUCCCUGCUUCCCAACCUCCAGGGAUGUCAAAAUAAUGAAACAGACGUGUUUGGGAAAGCGCUCCUGCUUUCAUUCACCGUAUCAGGACAUACUGCAUACGCUUAUUAUUUAUUUUCCACGCUCUAGAACCAAUAUCUUCUCAGAAAUAUUAGAGGUAUGAUGAAAAAAGAAGCCUCCACAAACGUGAGAUGGCAACAUCUGUGUUUUGACUGACGAUACGCUCAUGUGAAAUAUUCAUACGCACUUAAACGCAGCCCGGCUCGCCCUCCGUGCCACCCUGUGGGUCGUGGGAGCGGAUGUAAGCGUGAGAGCUGCGAUGCUAACAGGCUGUCAGACUGCUGACAAGUAACGCCACGAUCUGCUGGUCCACAUUAUCACACAGAGCUGGAGGGAGGGACUCACCGCAGCUACAGCGGCACUGCUUUUCCCACUAUAUUCCCUAGUAUCUUUUCAUUGCUAUGAAGCUGUUUUAGCACUUUCCAUCCAGGAUGGAUGGUUUGGAGAAGCGGCUGAACAUCAUGUGGGUCACAGCAAACCCAAACUGCCUCUCUUUGUUCAGGUGAUUUUUCUGGUCAGCUUUUAUGAUUUGAGUUGCGAAGCAAGCGCCUAUCAUCCUGAAACAGGAGCAAGAGUCUCAAAUCCAGAUUGUCCAGGUUAUUACCUGAAGAUGUGUCAGUACACUCAGUCAUGAAAACAGUCCCUUGCGCUGACCCACCCCAAUGUACAACCACAAAAAUCUGCCACAACAUUCCUCAGUCAAAGACACCACCUGUACCAAUCCCUCCAUCAUAGAAGAGUUUUAGACCCGAGUACCUGCCUCUGCCCUUGAACACUGCGCUAUUAUUUGGAACUGUGAACACCUCAGCCAAAUCAUCCUAAAAAAGAUGUCGCACAUUUCCUUUUCAUUUCCGCAGAAAAUAAAUAGAAAUCCAUCCGUGCGUUCAAAGUUGGCAGCAUCCGUUUGGAAACAGCCCAGAUCUAAUGUCCUCUGAAGGAGGACAAAACCCAUUGCAACGCCAUGUGAAGUGUUUGCAUCCAUCAGCUGACACUUGUGUGGAACAUAGAAAGUUAGCAUCUCAGCCAGUGUUUACCUGUGACUCGCUUCCAACUGUUUUAACCAAAAAUACAGCUUCAAAUACAGCUGUAUUAAGAACUGUGUAGCAUCCUUAUUCAGAUUAAUCUUUAAAGCUGUAGCUUCUGCCUUAACCUUUCAAAAAGCAGGUUAACAAUGCAAUGGGGACCGACUCUAUCGUUGGCAUUUGAGGCUAUUGUCAGUUUGGUCAUUGUGAUGUGCAUAGCAAUGUAAAGGACCACCGUCCCAAACUCUUGAGUUUAUGUUCACAGUGAAGAUGGCAAGCCAGACGUCAUGCUGUGGUCCUCACCUGACCGCUUACAUGACUGACCUAGCAGUUCCUUGUGAGGACGCAAUGGAAGAGGCCUUGAAGCGUAUGCAGACCAGGCUGCUGAAGCGGAACAGAUUUGCUGGAAAACAAGAGUUUGCCCAGUGGAGGUUGGCAGAGGAGGUCGCUUCUUGACUCCUCCGAAUAACGCCUAUCUAGAGGAGGCAAGUUUCUGGCUGCGGAUUAAGAGAAGCGGUCCCCUGACCAUGUCAUGGACCUGUCAUGGAAACGCUCACAAAGAGGGAUGCUGAAGCGGGUACAUCUCACCAGAGCAGGCAGGGCAAACCGUUCCCCAAAAUGGUGGAUAUGGCUGCAGAAUUGGUUCCAACCAAACAACUGACCUCAGUCUUCAGAAUGAUGAUUCGUUCAACCGAGUGCUCACAUAAACCUGUGGCCACGCCUGAUCCUCCUGUCGGUGAAUGAUCUGUCUUCUUCAGUGUCAUCCACAUCACUGGGAAGUACUAUGUCCUGAAGUAGCAUGCUGGAUGCUCCCCUCUUCUGAUCUUUUCAUCGAAGUGAAGCCACCAAAGGGAGAUUCCCCCAAUCCUGGUUUCAAAACCCAGUUUACAUCCAGAGUAAGGUUCGGGUUAGGGCUAAACACUAGGUUAGAUUAUGCCUAUAAACCAGCAUAAUGUGCUCAAAUGACCACUUUGUUUUCCCAUGGUAAACAUACCAGAAGGGCAAAACUAUAUGUGAGCGGUCUAUGAAGAGCUACGGAAACCCCCUCCAGUUGGCGACGAAACACCCGAGCCACAGCCGGACCCUUCUCAAUGACACUCCUGCGAGUACGAAACCACCAUGGCUUAAACAAUCAUCCACAUUUAUUGUCUUUUUAAUCCUUGAACAAACGGACAAAGUUCGAUAAGCCGUCACAAUAUAUGAAAAACUGCUGCACUGUUUGUUUCUUCACACCAAAUAGAAAUACUGUACAGAUCCACCUCAGAGAGUAGAUCAACACACAAGGUGAUUUGGGUCAUUACAUUCAGUAAGAACCAGCAGGCCCUUUUUUUUUUCUUUAAAAAGAGGGGAAUGACUAAAAGUUACUUCUGGAAUUCACAAAUGCCGCAGUAGAACAUGAGAUCAGAGUGUCAAUAGUGCAGUUUUGGUAGUUAGUAGCAACAACAGUGAGAGCAAUGAAACAACAAGAAGGGAGCACAGUUUUGUCUUUUUUUUUCUUACCACUUGAACACCUGGAACAUUCGCCCGUACGUGUACGAACAUGCACGAGGGGCAACACGGACAGGAAUCAAAUAAAUCACCGGCAUCAACACAAACACAAUUAUAAAUUAACAAUGUGCAAAUCGCCAAAGCAACACAGAAGUAAACCUUCCAGAGCUGAAACACGGCGCUUCCUCUUCCUGUAAAAAAUUGCAUUCAGAAGCAACUGUACCAAGUUUAUUUUGUCGCUAGAUUUGUAUUUGUUCUGUUCAGAGGUUUGUUCGCGGCGCCCUGCAGACGGAAUAUUGGACACAAUGAAGCAUGCGGCAAGUCGCUCCUGAUGUCGUGGCGCUUAUUGUCUUCCACCAAUGAUGCAAAUCUGCGCAGCCAGCAUGCAUGAGAGCCUCCGUUUAACACAGUGGGAAGAAAACCUUUGACAGAUAACAUGUUACUUUAAGUCACGGAGGCUUCGUGCUGUACGCACGUGUGACUCGAUAGGUCGGCAGACGUUGGUAGUGAUGUCUGUGCUGCGUUCACAUACAAAGCUGUGGGGGGCUUUUUUGAUCCAACACCUCUUGCUCUGCUGAUAAAGUGUUUGAUUUGUGGACAAACCACCUGGCAUCUUAGUUCAGACUCUCCCCAAAGCCAACAAGCGCAGAGAGGGGCGGCACAAUUGGCAGUUGAGGUUGACUAACAUGUCAACGUCUAUCCCUUUUGAACAGGUAUCAGAUGAUGGGAUGGUUUGGAUGAUGCCGUAUGUUUAAUUUUUGCAUUAGCGCAUUUCAGUAUUUGCAGGUUGCAAAGUUUGGAGGACAAUUCCUUUUGCAUCAUUUGCAGAUGGCGACAGUGUUUUUACAUACACAUUUACGCUAUUUGCUAAACCUGCCGUUCUCCAACCAGUGGCUUCCUUUGUAAGAGUCUAAACGCCGCUACAGAUCUAGUCAAUGAAUGUCCACACUAGGCUGCGUAUUAUUCAAUGACACUCCAUGGUGCGGCACUCUUGGUUCUGUUUUUUUAGCCAGCCUCGCCAUCACGUCACUCGAAAGACCAAUGAAUCAUUGAGGCAGGAAGUCAGUCGAUCCAAGGCAAAAUGGACCCAGUAAAACACUACGUGCAGAUUUUGAAUCAUGUGUCAACAUGACAGCGGUGCCAGCAGCACAGCAAAGCACUACAAACCUGCGUCCACCACACAACGCAGUCUGCUUAUGACAAUGUAUCUUUCAUGAAUCCAAAUGCAACGGAUCCAUUUCACAUAUUUCCUGGGAAUUUCAUUCAAAUCCGUCACUCCCAUUACAAGUGUCUCAUAGUCGAUAGAAGACCAAAGGUACAUUUAUUAAGUCUAAACUUCAACAAGCCUUUUUCAAGCAGGGAAAGUGGCACAAUAGCAGCGUGGCUUGUAUGUGAACGUAGCCUUUCACCUCUGGGAAAACGCCAGUGCAGGGGGAGCAACAGAGGUAUCGUGAACAUCACAUCAUUAUUAUUAUAAAAACCACGGUCUGUUGCGAAGAACAACUCACUCGACCUUCGUCUCGGGUGUGAGAUUGUAAACCAGGAGUGACCCGGUAAGAGCAGCUGCCAAUUUCCCACGAUCUCCAAAGACGACAGAACAACACUUCUGGUCACUGCACUGUCAAACACGUCUUUUUUUUUUCUUCUUCUUUUUUUUCUUCUUGUCCACUGCAGCACUUUCUUCUGCAUUUACUUGUGUGUCCAGGUCACACUUCAGUACCACACACCUUUGAUACACAUAGUCUUUUUUUUCUGUCUUGCUGAUGCUGUUUUGAGGUUCCAUGUUUCUUUAUUAUUUUACAUCCCACAGUUGUCUUCGUGCCUGACAAUCAUCCAGGACACUCGCGGCAGCUCCAUCCUCUCAGACCGAGCCUUGUCGUCCAGCGGUAUUGUUUCCUGCUGCUUCGUCAGGACAGCGCUGGAGCUCAUGAGCCUUCGGCAGCUGUUGCACAGCACUCCCUCCUGCGUCGCUUCUCCGCUCUGGUCCUUCCUGUCAACAAGGCCGUUGUGGCACCUGGACACCAGCAUGUGGCGCUCCUCCGGACUGCAGAUGGGAACCGAUGACUUGGUGAUGUCAGGAAGGUGAGGCAGCCGGGAGACGUGGUUGAGCAGACUGGCGGUUUUGGUGUUGGGGGUGUUACUGUAGGUGUGGCGGUACUCCUCCUCGAUGUUCCGCCCAAGCUUCCAGCGCUUCCACUUCUUCAGGACCUCAGAUUGGACCUGAUGGGAGAUAUCAAAUUACUUCAUGCAUCAACUAAAAGAAGUAAAAAUACUUACUUCUUUGUUCACGAAGCAGUACAAGAUCGCCACCAGGAGGCCCUGCGGAGACGAUAAAUGAUGUUAGCAUAUGUGACCCGGACAUGAGGCGAGAGGAUGCCCACAGCGACAAGAUGCCACCCAGGAAUCCCGCGCCACACAACCUGAGUUUCACUCUUUCCUUUCCCCAUGGUGGCCAAGGUGGCGCUAGCACACCGGUGUUUUGUCGCCAUUUAAUCUGUCAAAACACAUUGACACAGCAGAGCUUUGGUCUGACACCUACAACGGCCUCAUUGGCCCACUCCAAAAAAUAAAUAAAGAAAUAAAUAACAACAUGAGAUUUGAAGUCGAAAAUACAUGAUUUAAAAUCGUGAGAUUAUGAGAUUUAAACUAAAAAAUUAUGGGAUUUUAAGUUGUAGCAUGACAUGAUAUAAAGUCAUAAUAUUACAACGUCAGUAUGCCGGGCAGCGUCACAUUCAACUUACAAAUACAACAAUACUGCUACUUUAAAUCUCAAAAUAUUACGGUAUUAAAUCUCAUAUUGUCAUAAAAAAACACACCGAGAAAGACAGUGUGAUCAGAUUCAUCUUUCCUGUUAAAGGAACAGCAGCUACAGACAGUUCUGUUGUACACAUUGGUGUGGUUUAACCCCCCUGACAGUUUUUUUACAGCUGAAAACAGGAAACCAUGUUUAUUUGUGUCUGACGUAGACCCAAGGUCCUGGACAGACAAACUGCAGCCCCCAGUUUCCACAUCACGUUUGUGGGCCUUAACAACAACAACAAACAAGCUGAUCUGCAGCAGGCGCACGGUAGCGUCUUGUGGCUCUGCAUCUUUGACCCGGAGCUCCACUCUGCAUCCGGCACAUGUGUCACUCUCAUCAUUAAGACGAUUCCGACGCGGAGCGGCUGCCCUCGCAGCACAUGUCAUCUCUGUCCUCGGAGCACAAAGGUCGGCCAUUAUGCCACAGAGGCCAGAGCAGAACCGACAUGUAAUCGUCUCUGACAUGGAAGCAAAUGCCAGACUUGUCUUCUGUGUCGACGUACAAGGAGCUGAGGGCAUCUCUCAUCGCCUACUGUUAAAAUCCACACACACUUCUUCAUGCCUUACCUGGAAGGAGGAGAGGAAGAGGUCAAUGAAUAGCUUUGUGAGCCGCAAACCCAUGGUGGCUUUCGUGGUCUCGUCUAGGACGAAAAUGAAGACCACCUGGUGGAUGCCCAGCAGGGGGAUCAGGGUCAGCGUCGACUUGGCCAACCUGAGAUAAGAUAAGAGACCCAGUUAUAGAGCUACCUCUGCAGCCAGACAAAAAAAAAAAAAAAAAAACGUUUCAUCAUCCUCCCCCUGACCUGAACUUGUAAUCCGUGUAUCUCAUUUGGUGCGCCCGCAGCUUGGACACCAGGAUCUUUAUAAUGUGGAUGAAGAUAAGGAAGUUGAUCUGUGGAGCAUCAAGCUGCAGAACCAUAAGCAGAAUGACCACAAGAGCGGCGACCUACUCUUGGUUUUCAUGAAGAUACUUGGCCACCACCCAGGGCACCAGGAAUAUUAAGGGCGUCCCUGUGAAGGAAUGAGAGCUUCAGCUGAUGGACUCCAGCCAGAAGAGGUGGAACCAAUGGACUCACCCCAGCCGAUGCACAGGUCAAGUCCAGCAUCCAUAUCUGUCUGCGAUUGGAGUACAAAAUACAAGAACUGCGACCAAGUCGUAACAGUAAACACAAUCUGGUUUUUCUUUUUGAGUCAGGUGAAGUCAAGUUUCUGUGGUCUUCAAUCUGACCGCAGUAACCUCCGGGCAGAUGGUUUGCAGACUGAGCUGUAGCAGCUGAGAACCCGCCACACCGCUUCAACACAGAACCUCCCUCACAUCGAUCACCUCUGGACACUAGAUGUCUCUUUUUGGAACUGACCUCAUUGUUGACCAGCAGCUCCAUAGGAGGUAUGGAGGCUCUGGGGAAUCCCUGCUCCUGGUCUCGGCCCAAAUCCUGUGACGUGUUGUUGGCCUCCAGCAGGGCGUCCUUGAUGAGGAUCGACAGCGCUCGCAGGAUGAACGACGCAAACAGAUUCAUGUGGAUAUUGUUUCUCAUGCAGUGGAGCUUCCUGCACAUUAAAAAGACAUCAAGUUACUUCAAAGAAAACCUUACCGCAGUACUGUAUUGCAGUCAAAAGACAUGUUCGUACAUCUCACUCUACAGUGUGUUUUUUUCUCUCCGUAUCUUUAUCCAAAUAUGGGCCACUUUAAUAGGGCAUUUUUGAGUUUAGAAAGUCUUAAUUUAUAGCUUGAAUCAUAUGGAAUGCAAAGAGUGCCAUGAUUAAAUAAUAAAGGAUUGGGGAAAAAAAUCUAUACAAAAUAACAAUACUCAUUUAUUAGCCUAUGAGGACAUACUGUGAAACAUGUAGAAAUGUUCAAUUCGCUUCCUAUUUUCCACCUGUCAAUUUGAACGUAUUUUAAAAUAUAUUUCCACUUUUUUUUGUCUUUAUUAUUUAGUUAUUGCACUCCUGACAUUCCAUACAUUUAUUAUGGGGCCGACAUAGCCACCAGAAAACAUGAGCGUUCUGAGGUUGUUUGUAAAAAUGUAUGAGAACAUUUUUAUUAGAAUAAGAACAUAAUGUGUAGCAUCAAGCUAAAUAUUGAAUAUGAUAUAGAUAGAUUUUGCAUGCAUGAGGAAAUACACUAUGUUCUAUGAAAAAUUGCCAAAACAAAAAAAUGUAGGAUUUUGUGUGAAAUCUAGCUUCAUUUUUUUAACAGAGUGCCACCUACUGACCGCUGAAAGUGAGGACAGUGUUUCAUGAAGCCCCAC